rnacentral:misc_RNA from 1 species
UUUCCGUAGGUAAACCUGCGGAAGGAUCAUUAUUGUAUAACCGAGGUGCGAGGGCUGUCGCUGACCCGAAAGGUCGUGCACGCCCGAGUGCCCUCACACAUCCAUCUCACCCCUAUGUGCACCACCGCGUGGGUCCCCCUUUGGCUUGUUCGGAGGGGGGCUUACGUUUUCACACAAACUUUGUAUGCAGUGUAGAAUGUACUUUUUGUUUUUGCGAUCACGCAAUCAAUACAACUUUCAACAACGGAUCUCUUGGCUCUC